rnacentral:pre_miRNA from 8 species
AGCAGGACAGCUGGUGUUGUGAAUCAGGCCGCCGUGGUGAAAGGGUACGGCUUCUUCACAACACCAGGGUCUCACUU